UAAAAAAUUGAUAAUUUAUUUAUUUAAAACAUAAUUAGAUAAUGAAUAAUAUUUAACAAAUAUAAUAAUGACAUAAUAAUUAAAAUAUAUCACAAAUAAACAAAAAGUAAUACAUUUAUUAUUAAUGAUAUCAAUGUAAAUUAACACCCAUCAGGUGUAAUUUUUAUUAUAUUUUAUAUAUAGAAAAAGAAAAUCCUAAACUUUAGAGAAUAUAAUAUAUUUAGUUCAUCAAAAAAAAAANUAGAAGACAUACUGAAUGAAAUCAAAGACUCCAAGACAGAACAUAUACUUAAACUAAAAUCACUAUUAAUCAAUCAUCUCGUGCCCAAGUAUUAACAUUGUCUACAUCUCAAGUCUCAUCAAUUAAACUUCAACAAAAGCAA
rnacentral:lncRNA from 1 species